rnacentral:rRNA from 1 species
GAUGAACGCUAGCUACAGGCUUAACACAUGCAAGUCGCGGGGCAGCAUGGGGGUUGCUUGCAAUCCCCGAUGGCGACCGGCGCACGGGUGAGUAACGCGUAUCCAACCUGCCCUUCACCACGGGAUAACCCGGCGAAAGUCGGACUAAUACCGUAUGUUGUCCAUUGACUGCAUCCGAUUUGGACGAAAGGCUUGGCGGUGAGGGAUGGGGAUGCGUCCGAUUAGCCAGACGGCGGGGUAACGGCCCACCGUGGCUACGAUCGGUAGGGGUUCUGAGAGGAAGGUCCCCCACACUGGAACUGAGACACGGUCCAGACUCCUACGGGAGGCAGCAGUGAGGAAUAUUGGUCAAUGGGCGUAAGCCUGAACCAGCCAAGUAGCGUGCAGGAUGACGGCCCUAUGGGUUGUAAACUGCUUUUAUGCGGGGAUAAAGUGGCCCACGGGUGGGCUUUUGCAGGUACCGCAUGAAUAAGGACCGGCUAAUUCCGUG